CAGCGCCACAAGUGGGGAUCGCUUUUAUUGGGCCUAAAGCGUCCGUAGCCGGUUUAAUGAAUCUCUUGUGAAAUCGUUCGGCUCAACCGAACGGCGUGCAGGAGACACUCUUAGACUAGGGACCGGGAGGAGUUAGGAGUAUUCAAGGGGGAGCGGUAAAAUGCUAUAAUCCCUUGAGGACUACCAGUGGCGAAGGCGCCUAACUAGAACGGAUCCGACGGUGAGGGACGAAAGCCAGGGGAGCGAUCCGGAUUAGAGACCCGAGUAGUCC
rnacentral:rRNA from 1 species